CAGGAAUUACUAAAAACUGAAAUUAUUAUCUAUGGGAAACAUAAAACUAAAAGUCUAGGUAAGAGAAAGGCAUAAUAUAAAGUUGAGUUGUUGUUUAUUUUGUUCCUACUACACUAAGUUAUGGAGAUUUAUUUUGAAAACUUACAAAUCACAUGAUGAGUUCCUAGCAUUACAAACUACCUACCAUAGCCAUACUUGCUAUAACAUCUUUUACUAUAUUCACUUUGAGUUUGAUCGAGCUGUGUAACCCUUAGGAGCUUUUCAUGUGGUUAAAUUAAGAUAUUCACUUGCACACAUCUACCACAUGAUUCACCACCAAUCAUUAAAAAUCCUAAAAAUAUUAUCACUCACUGUCCCAAAUGUUUUUAUUCUCUCUCUCUAAAAAGAUUCAAUGCAGAAGAGACAUGGGUUAUGCAAAAAUAUGCGAGCAAAUAAAAAGGGGCAAGUGCCCGGAACCUCGGAAAAGAAAGAAAAAGAGUGAGACGAGAGGUAAAAAUGGACAAGUGUCCGGAGUAGAAUUAGGGGUACAAGAUGCCCACUUGAGCGGAAAAAAAUGGACAAGUGUCCGACAGUAGAAUUAGGGGUAUCUACUACCCAACUGAAAAAAAAGAGAAAAAGAUAGCCCAUGUUCUCCCAAAGCAAAGAUCAAAGAAGAGGAGAGAUAGCAAUAUGAGGAGCAAUG
rnacentral:lncRNA from 1 species